AAAAUAGUGAUGCAUCGCUUCUCGGCCUUUUGGCUAAGAUCAAGUGGAAAAAUAGUGAUGGAGACAUCCCUGAACUUGCACAAGAGGGCUGAGGCCAUGAGUCUGAAAGA
rnacentral:miRNA from 1 species